rnacentral:rRNA from 1 species
AGUGAACGCUGGCGGUAGGCCUAACACAUGCAAGUCGAACGGCAGCACAGUAAGAGCUUGCUCUUACGGGUGGCGAGUGGCGGACGGGUGAGGAACACAUCGGAAUCUACUUUUUCGUGGGGGAUAACGUAGGGAAACUUACGCUAAUACCGCAUACGACCUGCGGGUGAAAGCAGGGGAUCUUCGGACCUUGCGCGAUUGAAUGAGCCGAUGUCGGAUUAGCUAGUUGGCGGGGUAAAGGCCCACCAAGGCGACGAUCCGUAGCUGGUCUGAGAGGAUGAUCAGCCACACUGGAACUGAGACACGGUCCAGACUCCUACGGGAGGCAGCAGUGGGGAAUAUUGGACAAUGGGCGCAAGCCUGAUCCAGCCAUACCGCGUGGGUGAAGAAGGCCUUCGGGUUGUAAAGCCCUUUUGUUGGGAAAGAAAAGCAGCAGGUUAAUACCCCGCUGUUCUGACGGUACCCAAAGAAUAAGCACCGGCUAACUUCGUG